rnacentral:rRNA from 1 species
AUACGUAGGGGACGAGCGUUGUCCGGAAUUACUGGGCGUAAAGGGCGCGCAGGCGGAUAUUUAAGUCAGCUGUAAAAGGCAUGAGCUCAACUCAUGUAUGCGGUUGAAACUGGGUAUCUAGAGAGCUGGAGUGGUAGGCGGAAUUCCCGGUGUAGAGGUGACAUGCGUAGAUAUCGGGAAGAACACCAGUGGCGAAGGCGGCUUACUGGCCAGCAACUGACGCUGAGGCGCGAAAGCCAGGGGAGCGAACGGGAUUAGAUACCCCGGUAGUCCUGGCCGUAAACGAUGAAUGCUAGGUGUGGGUGUCGAGAGGCAUCCGUGCCGGAGUUAACGCGAUAAGCAUUCCGCCUGGGGAGUACGAUCGCAAGAUGGAAACUCAAAGGAAUUGGCGGGG